AUUGAAACAUCAGUUCCCAUACGAUCACUGAAGUUAAGUAAUGUUGAGUCUUGUCAGUACCUAGGUGGGUGACCCUUUGGGAAUACCAGGU